rnacentral:lncRNA from 1 species
AAGAAAUUGAGAGAAAAAGAGAUACAGGGCCCAGCCCACCGCAACCACCCACGCCGAACGCCAGGGAGCAAUCGGCUCCUCUUCGCCCUCCCCGCGGUUUAAAUCCCCCACGGCCCCGCCCCGCGCAGCCGCGCUGGGGCCCCGCGCACCUGCGCGCGCCCCUCUGCUGGCCCCGCCCCCCCGCCCGUAAAUGGCGGCGGAUCCGCGCCCGCCCCGCGUCCUGCGGGGGAUGCUCGGGCCGGGCUGCGGCGGGACCGGCGCUCGGAGCGCCGUGCGGAGAUCCGGAUCGGGGCUGCUCCCGGCGCUGCGCGGCGUCCGAGGCCCUCAGGGACACUAAAUGCCAAGCAAUAGGCCUCAGAGAUGCCUUCAAAUCAGAGGUUCCAGUGGGAUGAUGUUUGGAGAUUUCCAGGGAGCCCGCUGGAGGUGCAGAAGUGAUGGAAAACUCACCGCUCCUGAGCAGUGUCAGGGCCACCGGGAGGGCGUUCAAACCCAAAAAAUCCCCACAGCCCACGGAGUGAAUGAUCCCAGCAGAGAAACGCAGCGUUGUAAUAAAGAACUUGGAGCUCUGUGGAAAAGGCUCUGAGAACACGUGAGAGGAACAGGAACUCACAGCCACCGAGGCCUGACGGGUUCCUGCAGUGAGAGCUCGGCGCGUGUCCGCAGAGGUGAGUGCAGCACCUGAAAGGAGAGAAAUGUGAUUUAUUUUGCUUCAAAGUUAUUUCAAGUUCUUAAAGCCCAACCAACUUUUGCUCUUGAUUUUGGUCGGGUGAAACACAAGCAGUGGGCAGAGCUCGUGCCAUUGAUGUGGAUGUGCCUGAUGCUUUCUGG